AGAGAGGUGGCCGAGUGGCUGAAGGCGCACGCUUGGAAAGCGUGUAUACUGCAAGGUAUCGAGGGUUCGAAUCCCUUCCUCUCUA
rnacentral:tRNA from 2 species